rnacentral:rRNA from 1 species
AUGAACGCUGGCGGCGUGCCUAAUACAUGCCAGUCGAGCGAACAGACGAGGAGCUUGCUCCUCUGACGUUAGCGGCGGACGGGUGAGUAACACGUGGAUAACCUACCUAUAAGACUGGGAUAACUUCGGGAAACCGGAGCUAAUACCGGAUAAUAUAUUGAACCGCAUGGUUCAAUAGUGAAAGACGGUUUUGCUGUCACUUAUAGAUGGAUCCGCGCCGCAUUAGCUAGUUGGUAAGGUAACGGCUUACCAAGGCGACGAUGCGUAGCCGACCUGAGAGGGUGAUCGGCCACACUGGAACUGAGACACGGUCCAGACUCCUACGGGAGGCAGCAGUAGGGAAUCUUCCGCAAUGGGCGAAAGCCUGACGGAGCAACGCCGCGUGAGUGAUGAAGGUCUUCGGAUCGUAAAACUCUGUUAUUAGGGAAGAACAAAUGUGUAAGUAACUAUGCACGUCUUGACGGUACCUAAUCAGAAAGCCACGGCUAACUACGU